UUUGCACGUUUCCUGUUAACCGUGGUGUCUUUUAUAAUUUUCUUUGUGUUACUGAGCAUCUUUUCAUUUGAGUUCUGCGUUUUAAAAUGUAAAUAAGAUUACUUUUCAAACCGUUAAUGCUGCAAGUAUGUUAACUGUGCGUUACAUUCGCAUUCAAGGUCGUACGACUCAGCAAAACUGCAUACGGUGUGCACCAUGCGGUAUUCGUAUUCGUAUUGGCGUCUAGCGUGUUCUUUCGUAUGAGGUUUGGUAUUUCGACUUAAAUAUCGUUGUUAAUCGUUGCAUAUCACAUAUAAAGUGCUAAAUGUGUUGUUUAGAAUUCGAAGAAGUAUAACUGAAUUUCCAGUUGGAAAUCAUGUGAUGCAUAAUUAAAGUUAUCGAGUGUUAAUGGAUGUUUGUAACAAACCUCUGAGUUAUUACUUAGUGGUGAACCGUAAGUUAAGUGCAUUGUUACUACGGAGAAUCAGUUUGAACCUGCAAGUGAUUAAAUGUUAUACUAGUUCUAAUCAACCUUCAGUGUCAAGAAUUAUCCACAACCUGUCAGUGAAGUCUACUUGUGAUUCAAAAAUGAGACAAUUAGGAGCAGUUGUUUUAUAAAGUUCUGUAAUGAAGAAAUUAUGCAGAAUGCAAUUAUUUUGAGUGACUUCAGCGUGAAUAGCCGUGGGAAAUGUACAACGCUGCAUUAUUCAGUUAUUUUAAUGGUAAAGUGUUGCAUCUUUGGUGCAUUUACAGCUGGAUGCUAUUUUAAAUAGCAAAAAUCGUCUCAGAGUGUAACUUUAUUAGUUAAUGACUUCUUAAGAAGUUGCCUACACAAACAUCUUAUUUAUAAAGAUGUUAUUGAUAUUUAUGUUGUGAUUGUUUUCAUGUUUUCUAAGUGAUGAUAAAGUUUUGGUUUAGUGUUCAGCCCCCGCAGACAACCGAAUCGUUUUGCCAGACCAGGCUGUUGAUUCAAUUAUCGGCGAGACUUCGACACUUUGUCGCUUAUUAUUUGCUCAGUUUGCGCCCGAACUUGAUCCUCGGAUUUUUAUUCCCUAUCUGUUUUUGUGCGUGUGUCGUAUUUCGGCGACUCUCGCAGUGGUAAUAUAAAAAGAGAACUUUUUUUUAGGUCACACAUCAACGAGUGAGUGUAUAUUUCUAUCCAAACACAUUAGAGUAUUAGGAAAGCAAAGAAACUAAGCCAAUAGAGCGUAGUAUAUCGUGACGAAAGUAAAAGUAUCGAAAGCGGACAAAAAAUGGAUGGUAGACAUACAGUGUGCAAAAAGUGACACUUAAUCUUAUCACACUUUUCAUUACGGAGCGUUUUUUUCUUUGAGUUGCUCAGGUUUAUUUAUGUGAAUACUUACAUUUGCCUUUUUGUAAGUUUAACAACAUUGAGCGACGUUUAAACUAUCGUAUUUUAAAACUUCGAACUUUGUUCGCAUACUACAGGGAAAUGUAAGGUUAUAAAUACAUGGGAGUAAGUUUUACUCACGGUCCUGGCCGGUGGUGACUAAAGUACUACUUUUCGGGCCACGAAACCAUGGAAAAAGUGACGCUUUAAAGGUGAAAGUAGGAAAACUGUUUUAACAAUCAGUUCUGUAGAUUUUCAAGGCACAAACUACUAAUUGUCUAAUUGAGCUGAUACUAUUAAGAUCCAAUUCAAAUUAUUGAUUUUUUCAAGUGUUUAAAAGUAUUAUUCUACGCAUUCCGUAGCCUUCUCUUCAUUUGUUUACUUAAAAAUAAGUUAUUUUAUUAAAAUCGCCUGAAAAAAAUAUUAUACAAUAAUACCAGAAAGAAUAACAAGAAAAACCAGAAAUUAUAUGAGAAAAGAUGAAAACCUUAUUUGACCAGUAAUAUAUCUACUUAUGAUACUUUUUUUAUACGUUGGUUAUAUUGAAAUAAGUUUAGUUACAGUCAAAGCAAACUCAAAUGAAAACAGAAUACUCUGAAGUAUCUUAACACAAAAAAAAAAACAUCCCUCAUCUUUUUUUGCUUGUCGUCUGAAAAAAUAAAAGACUGUAUAUUUAAACGUCAUUCAACGUUAACGCAAACGAGAUUGUUAGAGAGAUGUGAGGAGACUAUUCGAGAUCGGCAAGCAAAUAUCGAAAACACAUUCGCGUGUUUGAAUGUUUGCACGUUUGAACGUCGUGCCGGCCGUGCGUCGGAAUGGUGUUUGAAUGUUUGAAAAGAUGCAAACAGUCGAAUAUAUCGAUAUUUGCGUCCGUCGACGUUCGCCGACAGUCUAGACUCGCGACACAAAAAAACAUAAACUGAUGUAUCUGGUAAAUAGCAAAGCAAAGGAAUAAAACACACAUUGAAGGGAUGGGAUACUAAAGACAUACUAAAAUACUAAAAGAAGGACGCAAAGGAAGAUGAAGUAUAAAAAUAAAAUAGGGCUUUGAAAAAAUGUAUGAAACGGUAAAGCGAUAUGUAUUGUAUAUUGCUGAUGAUUUUUGGUGCUUUGUUUGCCUUGUGCUUGAAGUGGUUUUUGUUGGUUAGAAAAUGUUUAUAAAUUAGGUGAAUUCCGACGUGUUCGGUUUGGGCUUUGAUGUGUUCAAAGUGAAGCACAGAUCGAUUGCUUUGUAAAUACGGCGACGCUUUUGUUUUCUUGUUUGUUCGAAUCGAUUCGAGCGAGUCAACAGCGAAAUUACAUUGUUAAAGUGCGUUAUUAUUUUUUAAAGUAGGUUGUGACGCUUUGUUACAUUUAUUUAAAUUAAUUAUUAAAAUGUUGCAAUGGACACAUUGUAGGUAUAUCAAAACUCAUAUUUUUAUUUCAAAACUAGCUGUUGCCCGCGACUUCGUUGCGGCAGUGUUUAAUAAAAAUGUAAUUCGUUUUUAUUCUCUUGUUCUAGACAUACUCGUAGUAAGAGUCAAUUCUAUCAAUAAGAUUAGCAAUUUUAAUUUAAAGAAAUUAUGCAUAUAAAGUUUUGUCAAUAAUGCACUUCAGCGCGCCAUCUCGAAUUCAACUAUUUAACUAUAACUAUGAUUGAAUCUCAAUGUCAAAUUUUAUUCUAUAGAAAAGAGCUGUUUUGAGGA